rnacentral:rRNA from 1 species
UGGGGAAUUUUGGACAAUGGGCGCAAGCCUGAUCCAGCAAUGCCGCGUGCAGGAUGAAGGCCUUCGGGUUGUAAACUGCUUUUGUACGGAACGAAAAGCCUCUCUCUAAUACAGGGGGUGAUGACGGUACCGUAAGAAUAAGCACCGGCUAACUACGUGCCAGCAGCCGCGGUAAUACGUAGGGUGCAAGCGUUAAUCGGAAUUACUGGGCGUAAAGCGUGCGCAGGCGGUUUUGUAAGACAGUGGUGAAAUCCCCGGGCUCAACCUGGGAACUGCCAUUGUGACUGCAAGGCUGGAGUGCGGCAGAGGGGGAUGGAAUUCCGCGUGUAGCAGUGAAAUGCGUAGAUAUGCGGAGGAACACCGAUGGCGAAAGGCAAUCCCCUGGGCCUGCACUGACGCUCAUGCACGAAAAGCGUGGGGAGCAAAACAGAUUAGAUACCCUGGUAGUCCACGCCCUAAAACGAUGUCAAACUGGUUGUUGGGGAUUUAUUUCUUCAGUAACGAAGCUAACGCG